rnacentral:rRNA from 1 species
AGUCGAGCGAAGCACUUUGCUUAGAUUCUUCGGAUGAAGAGGAUUGUGACUGAGCGGCGGACGGGUGAGUAACGCGUGGGUAACCUGCCUCAUACAGGGGGAUAACAGUUAGAAAUGACUGCUAAUACCGCAUAAGACCACAGCACCGCAUGGUGCGGGGGUAAAAACUCCGGUGGUAUGAGAUGGACCCGCGUCUGAUUAGCUAGUUGGUAAGGUAACGGCUUACCAAGGCGACGAUCAGUAGCCGACCUGAGAGGGUGACCGGCCACAUUGGGACUGAGACACGGCCCAAACUCCUACGGGAGGCAGCAGUGGGGAAUAUUGCACAAUGGGGGAAACCCUGAUGCAGCGACGCCGCGUGAGCGAAGAAGUAUUUCGGUAUGUAAAGCUCUAUCAGCAGGGAAGAAAAUGACGGUACCUGACUAAGAAGCACCGGCUAAAUACGUGCCAGCAGCCGCGGUAAUACGUAUGGUGCAAGCGUUAUCCGGAUUUACUGGGUGUAAAGGGAGCGUAGACGGAUGGGCAAGUCUGAUGUGAAAACCCGGGGCUCAACCCCGGGACUGCAUUGGAAACUGUUAAUCUAGAGUGCUGGAGAGGUAAGUGGAAUUCCUAGUGUAGCGGUGAAAUGCGUAGAUAUUAGGAGGAACACCAGUGGCGAAGGCGGCUUACUGGACAGUAACUGACGUUGAGGCUCGAAAGCGUGGGGAGCAAACAGGAUUAGAUACCCUGGUAGUCCACGCCGUAAACGAUGACUACUAGGUGUCGGGUGGCAAAGCCAUUCGGUGCCGCAGCAAACGCAAUAAGUAGUCCACCUGGGGAGUACGUUCGCAAGAAUGAAACUCAAGGGAAUUGACGGG